rnacentral:rRNA from 1 species
AAACUUUCAACAACGGAUCUCUUGGCUCUGGCAUCGAUGAAGAACGCAGCGAAAUGCGAUAAGUAAUGUGAAUUGCAGAAUUCAUGAAUCAUCGAAUCUUUGAACGCACAUUGCGCCCGCCAGUAUUCUGGCGGGCAUGCCUGUUCGAGCGUCAUUA